rnacentral:rRNA from 1 species
GACGAACGCUGGCGGCGUGCCUAAUACAUGCAAGUAGAACGCUGAAGCUUGGUGCUUGCACCGAGCGGAUGAGUUGCGAACGGGUGAGUAACGCGUAGGUAACCUGCCUGGUAGCGGGGGAUAACUAUUGGAAACGAUAGCUAAUACCGCAUAAGAGUAGAUGUUGCAUGACAUUUGCUUAAAAGGUGCAAUUGCAUCACUACCAGAUGGACCUGCGUUGUAUUAGCUAGUUGGUGAGGUAACGGCUCACCAAGGCAACGAUACAUAGCCGACCUGAGAGGGUGAGCGGCCACACUGGGACUGUGACACGGCCCAGACUCCUACGGGAGGCAGCAGUAGGGCAUCUUCGGCAAUGGACGGAGGUCUGACCGAGCAACGCCGCGUGAGUGAAGAAGGUUUUCGGAUCGUAAAGCUCGGUUGUAAGAGAAGAACGAGUGUGAGAGUGGAAAGUUCACACUGUGACGGUAUCUUACCAGAAAGGGACGGCUAACUACGUG